GGAGUCGUCAUAGCUCAGUGGUAGAGCAUCUGCUUCGCAUGCAGAAAGUCCCAGGUUCAAUCCCUGGCAUCUCCA